UUCAAAUUAUUUUAAAAGUGAAUCAACUUUUGCGCAUUAUUUGAAUCAGAUAAAUAAUAAUAUAUUAUGUUUGUAAAAAUGAUAUGAUACCGUUUUUAUUAAAAGGAAAAAAAAACAGAAAAUUAGAACAAGAAUGAAGAUAUGUUCAUAGAAAAUAAACAACAAUAUAUUUGGUAAUUGUUACAUGAGCUACAAAAAGUAUUUAUAACAAUAAGAGACUUUUUACAAUUAUUUAAACAUUUAAAAAAGUGAUCUGUUGUGUUAUCCAUGGAACAUAAUUAUAGACAUUUACGUAGACACCAGGAACAUUACUGGUUGCACAACCAAUACCCCAUGCUACCAGUCCAACAACUUGCCACUGAUCAUUGCCAGAUUUACAUACUAAUGGAGAACCACCAUCACCCUAAAAAAAAAUGACUCAUUUGAUGAUACAAAUUUUCUCCUCCAGCACAUAAGAAACUAUUUUGAUCGAGAAUAAAAUUUUGUCCAAGACUGGUGCUUUUAAGAGAAGUUUCACAAGUUGAUUGA